GACGGAGGGUGCAAGCGUUAUUCGGAAUUAUUGGGCGUAAAGAGUGUGUAGGCGGCCGGUUAAGUCAGGCGUGAAAGCCCAGGGCUCAACCCUGGAAGUGCGUUUGAAACUGGCUGGCUUGAGUUCGGGAGAGGGAAGCGGAAUUCCGGGUGUAGAGGUGAAAUUCGUAGAUAUCCGGAGGAACAUCGGUGGCGAAGGCGGCUUCCUGGACCGAAACUGACGCUGAGACAAGAAAGCGUGGGGAGCAAACAGG
rnacentral:rRNA from 1 species